rnacentral:lncRNA from 1 species
UUUGGUGGAGGAAUUUCGUUGAAUCUUCAUAUUGUGAGAGUUAGGCUAACUUAAGUGUUUUUUAACCUUUUUUUAUUUAUCCAUUUAAUUGUUUAAUCAUUAAUUAUUCUUUUACUUUUAUUUGUUUAUUUAUUCAUCAACUUUCUUAUUUACAUAUUGUUCAUUCAUUUAACCAUUCUUAUCAUUCUUUUAUUUUCUUCC